rnacentral:rRNA from 1 species
GCCUACAGCCAUGCUAUCCUGAACAAGCCUGAUCCUGUCUGAUCUUGGGAGCUAAGCAGGGUCGGGCCUGGUUAGUACUUGGAUGGGAGACCACCUAGGAAGACCAGGUGCUGCAGGCC